ACAAGAUAUUGUACAAGAAUUAUCAAAGAUGUUGGACGAGCACAAUCCCUUUGCUAAGAAAUUUAGGCUUGCCAGGGAAAGGCUUAAUGAACACACAAAUGAAGAAUUUAUCAUCAGAAUUAUUGGGGCUAGAGAAGGAGAUCCUGUGCAGUACAAUAUGCCAACAACCGAUGAUUUAGCCAUGCUUGUUAUUGGUGAUUUCUCACUUGAUACCUUCAAACGAGACAUUAUUAUAGAGACAAGAAAUUUGGAAUUGAGGCGUAUUUCAUCAUUGCAUCCAGCAUAUAUGGCUCUCCAAUAUCCACUUCUGUUUCCAUAUGGAGAGCGUGGGUUCCAAGUUGGUGUAGCAUAUAGUGAUACAAGGGUUAGAGGAACAAAUUCAAGGGCUCAUAUAACCAUGCAAGAAUACUAUUGCUAUCAAUUUCAUUACAAGGUUGGCCAGCCAAAUCCAUUUCUGUCUUAUGGGACACUAUCAAACUAGGCUACAGUUGAUGCUCGUGCCUGUAUUGAUGAAAAUAGACUUAUGUAUAUUCUGAAUAAUCAAGACAAAUUACGAAUAGAAAACCUUCAAGGCAUAUUAGAUGCUGUUAGUAAAGGCUGCAUAAACGGUGACGAAAUGGGAAAAACAAUCGUA
rnacentral:misc_RNA from 1 species